rnacentral:rRNA from 1 species
UACGUAGGGUGCAAGCGUUGUCCGGAAUUAUUGGGCGUAAAGAGCUUGUAGGCGGUUUGUCGCGUCUGCUGUGAAAUUUCGGGGCUCAACCCCGAACUUGCAGUGGGUACGGGCAGACUAGAGUGUGGUAGGGGAGACUGGAAUUCCUGGUGUAGCGGUGAAAUGCGCAGAUAUCAGGAGGAACACCGGUGGCGAAGGCGGGUCUCUGGGCCGGUACUGACGCUGAGACGCGAAAGCGUGGGGAGCGAACAGG